UGAGAGUUUGAUCCUGGCUCAGGAUAAACGCUGGCGGCGUGCCUUAGGCAUGCAAGUCAAACGGUCCCGCCGUAAGGCGGGAAAGUGGCGGACGGGUGAGUAAUGCAUAGGAACGUACCCUAAAGUGAAGGACAUCUCGUCGAAAGACGGGGUAAUCCUGCAUAGUCUCGUUCUUCGAACGAGAAGCUCAAAAGUCAAAAGUCAAAAGUCAAAAAUGGAAAGGUAAUAAUUAAUAAAUAAAAAUUUUACCUUUUUCACUUUGAUCUUUGAACUUUGAUCUUUGAACUUACUCGUCCGGAGAACGAGUAAAGGGAUUAACUUCCCGCUUUUGGAGCGGCCUAUGUUCUAUCAGCUAGUUGGUGGGGUAAUGGCCUACCAAGGCUACGACGGAUAGCUGGAGUGAGAGCUUGACCAGCCACAAUGGCACUGAGAUACGGGCCAUACACCUACGGGUGGCAGCAACCGGGAAUAGUCGGCAAUGGACGAAAGUCUGACCGCGCGACGCCGCGUGAGGGAUGAAGUCUUUCGGGAUGUAAACCUCUUUUACCAGGGAAAAGCAAGGAUGGUACCUGGUGAAUAAGCAUCUACUAACUACGUGCCAGCAGUCGCGGUAAUACGUAGGAUGCAAGCGUUAUCCGAAUUUACUGGGCGUAAAGGGUCGCGUAGGCGUCCCAUCGCAUCUUGUUUUAAAGACCGGGGCUUAACCCCGGAAUUGGGCAAGAGAUGGAUGGGAUUGAAGGUUGGUGGGGUUUCCGGAACUUGCGGUGUAGCAGUGAAAUGCGUUGAUAUCGCAAGGAACACCAAGAGCGAAGGCAGGAAACCAACCAACUCUUGACGCUGAGGCACGAAAGCUAAGGGAGCGAAGCAGAUUAGAGACCUGCGUAGUCUUAGCUGUAAACGCAUGGGUGCUAGAUGGUCCAGCCUAGCUGGACUGUCGUAAGUUAACACGUUAAGCACCUCGCCUGGGGAGUACGAUCGCAAGAUUAAAACUCAAAGG
rnacentral:rRNA from 1 species